rnacentral:rRNA from 1 species
UAGCCUUGACAUUGAUUGAACACACUAGAGAUAGAGUGGUGCCCUUCUGGGAACAUGAAAACAGGUGCUGCACGGCUGUCGUCAGCUCGUGUCGUGAGAUGUUGGGUUAAGUCCCGCAACGAGCGCAACCCUCGUCCUUAGUUGCUAGCAGUUCGGCUGAGCACUCUAAGGAGACUGCCUUCGUAAGGAGGAGGAAGGUGAGGACGACGUCAAGUCAUCAUGGCCCUUAUGGCUAGGGCUACACACGUGCUACAAUGGGGCGUACAGAGUGUUGCGAUACCGCGAGGUGGAGCUAAUCACUUAAAGCGUCUCUCAGUUCGGAUUGGAGUCUGCAACUCGACUCCAUGAAGCUGGAAUCACUAGUAAUCGUAGAUCAGCAAUGCUACGGUGAAUACGUUCCCGGGUCU